rnacentral:tRNA from 1 species
GGGGUUGUGGCUCAGCAGUAUAGAGCAUUCACCUAGUAUGUGAGAGGCCCUGGGUUUGAUACUCAGCACCA